UAAUUGGAUAGAGCAUUAUUUAUGGACCUG
rnacentral:piRNA from 1 species